rnacentral:lncRNA from 1 species
UUCUGAUAUAUAAUCUUUCAAUUAGAAUUCAAGAUUUCAAAAGUGCUUCAAGCUGACUGAAAAGCCUGAUAUUUCAUACCAUGAAAAGUAAAAAUGCAGCAACCUGCUUCUUCAAAGAUGUUUGCAUUUGAUGCAGGUUCUCAUCUUAAUUAGUAAAAAACGGAGCAGGCUUGUUUUUUAGGGUAAGCUGAUAUAUGCUUAAGAUCUUAAAUUUAUUUGCCUUUAUCUUGUUUUGGGAAGAAAAUUCUUUUUAUCAUUAUCCCUCCCAUCACAUAUCUGCAUUUUCCCUAAGUUGUCAGUAGAGGAUGCAUGGAGAAUCUGCCCAUACUCUUAUCUCUAGAUGAUCUUUUAAAUAGUAUGCACCAUAAUUGAGGUCAGGUGGCAGCCAUGAAUGAGAUAAAUCUUGAAUGAGAUUAAGAUGAAUGACACUCUGCUGGCCAAAGUCCCACUGUUCCAGAAAGAAAUGAUAAAUUAAUGGAAUCGACAUUGGUGUGAUUUUAAAAAAGAAUGUUUAAACAUAUGCUAUGAAUAUUUCAGCAAAACAUGAAUCUCUGCCUUCCUUUUGUACCUUUAAUAUCCCCAUACUCCUGGGAUCAACCGUGUAGAACCAGAACCGAACAGUACAUAUUCCGAGACUUGCUGGAAAGUACUGGGAAGUAGUGACUCUUGCCGUGUGUCCUUCUUUGGGUCCAGAUGAGUUGACAUAUAGGAAGUGCUGGCCGCUCCCUUGAAACAGAUGAAUACAACUCUUUCAGUACAAUGUUAAGUGUCACAGCAUGAGGAAGAAUAUAUUUAAACUAUGUGCGAAUUUCAUGCCGCCCACCCGCACACAAUUAAACACAACUCAUUUUCUUUCUGUGGAGUCACAUAUCGAUAAUGUUUAAUUCUUUUGAACCAAAAAGAAGAAAGAAAGAGAAAGAAAGUAGAAAGAAGAAAGAAAGAAAGAAAAAGAAAGAAAAGAAAGAAAGAAAGAAAGAAGGACAGAAGGAAAGAAUAGAAGUAACUUUGCCAUGAGAGCAUGGUAAAUGGCUUACCUAGUUAAGGGGAAGAAAUUAAUAGGGAUAAAUGAGCACAAGUAUAUACUUUAAGUUAAAGACCAAAAUCAGCCUAAAAAAUAAAAAUAAAAUGUAGACUUAAAAAAAUGAGAAAAAAUAGCAAUAAUGUCUUACCAUGGCAGCAAUAGAAAUAUAAAAAGGUUAAAUGCCAAAAACUUAACUAUAAAAAUAAUUCCAAAAAGUUCAGUAGGAAAAUGACAAGGCAGAAAAAAAUGUGUAAGAUAUUUACAAAUAAUUUAUGUAAGAAGAAACUUUAAAGAUCAAAUAGCUUAUAAGGAGAUGCUCAGGCUCUGUGGAAGUUAGAUAAAUGGAGGAUGAAGUGGCAAAACAUGAUGAGUACACCUUGUAGAAUGUUUUGCAGUAAUGGGAAAUAAUCAACUGGAUGCAUAUAUUAAAACAAAGAUGUAUCUUUAAUAUACAGAUUGAAGAGAAAAAAUAGUAAAAUGAAAGUUAAAACAUUCAAAAAGAGCAGCACAUAUAUUAUAGAAUGCAUACAACUAAGCAUAUAUAUUAAAAUGGUUGUGGAGGGAAAGAGUUAUUAGAAAUGAAGAUAAAAAAUUAAUAUAGAUACAAAAUGAAAGAUAAGACACACUUGAAACAAUAGCACACAUAAAAUAAAUUAAAAAAUUGGUAAAACCUAUGGUUUUUUUUUAAUAUAAUUAUAUUGUCCCUGGCUAAUGUGCUGGACUCUAGAUAGUUUUAUUAAAUUUUCAAUACAUAGGAUUUAUAAUUAGAGAAUUAUAUUGUCUUUUUUUUAGACUUUAAGUUAUCUCUACAUCCAAUGUGGGGAUCAAACUCACAACUCCAAGACCAAGAGUUGCAUGCUUUCUAACUGAGCCAGCCAGGCACCCCACCCCCAUUUUGUCUACUU